rnacentral:rRNA from 1 species
GCCCUUUUCCGGUUGAUCCCGCCGGAGGCCAUUGCUAUCGGAGUCCGAUUUAGCCAUGCUAGUCGCACGAGUUCAUACUCGUGGCAAAUAGCUCAGUAACACGUGGCCAAACUACCCUGUGGACAAGGACACUCUCGGGAAACUGAGGCUAAUCCUUGAUACAGCUUCCAUGUUGGAAUUGCAGGAAGCUGGAAAAGCUCCGGCGCCACAGGAUGUGGCUGCGGUCGAUUAGGUAGACGGUGGGGUAACGGCCCACCGUGCCAGUAAUCGGUACGGGUGAUGAGAGUCAGAGCCCGGAGACGGUAUCUGAGACAAGAUACCGGGCCCUACGGGGCGCAGCAGGCGCGAAACCUUUACACUGCACGACAGUGCGAUAGGGGGACUCCGAGUGCGAGGGCAUAUAGUCCUCGCUUUUCUGUACCGUAAGGAGGUACAGGAACAAGUGCUGGGCAAGACCGGUGCCAGCCGCCGCGGUAAUACCGGCAGCACAAGUGAUGGCCGAUCUUAUUGGGCCUAAAGCGUUCGUAGCCUGCCAGCCAAGUUCGUUGGGAAAUUCACGUGCUUAACACGUGAGCGUCCAGCGAAAACUGUCUGGCUUGGGGCCGGAAGACUC